rnacentral:tRNA from 1 species
ACACUCAUAGCUCAAUUGGAUAGAGUCCCUGGCUUCGAACCAGGUGGUUAGAGGUUCAAGUCCUCUUGGGUGUA